rnacentral:rRNA from 1 species
AGAGUUUGAUCCUGGCUCAGAACGAACGUUGGCGGCGUGGAUUAGGCAUGCAAGUCGUACGAAUAUCAUCUGGGUAACUGGAUGGUGGAAGUGGCGAAAGGGGCAGUAAUACACGGGUAACCUACCCUGGGGCCUGGGAUAGCUGUUCUAACGGACAGGUAAUACCAGGUAAGCCGGUUGUGUCGCAUGACACGAUCGGGAGAGGGCAACCGCCCUAGGAGGGGCCCAUGCGAUAUUAGCUAGUUGGUGGGGUAAUGGCCCACCAAGGCGAUGAUGUCUAGCGGGUGUGAGAGCACGACCCGCGCCAUUGGCACUGAGACACUGGCCAGACUCCUACGGGAGGCUGCAGUCGAGAAUCUUCGGCAAUGGGCGAAAGCCUGACCGAGCGACGCCGCGUGUGCGAUGAAGGCCCUUCGGGUUGUAAAGCACUGUCGAGAGGAAACAAGCCGCAAGGUUGAGUGACCUCUGGAGGAAGCACGGGCUAAGUUCGUGCCAGCAGCCGCGGUAAGACGAACCGUGCGAACGUUGUUCGGAAUCACUGGGCUUAAAGGGUGCGUAGGCGGAAUGGCAAGUCGGAGGUGAAAGCCCCCAGCUUAACUGGGGAAGUGCCCUCGAUACUGCUGUUCUCGAGAGAGGUAGGGGCGUGUGGAACUUCCGGUGGAGCGGUGAAAUGCGUAGAUAUCGGAAGGAACGCCGAUGGCGAAAGCGAUGCGCUGGACCUUUUCUGACGCUGAGGCACGAAAGCUAGGGGAGCGAACGGGAUUGGAUACCCCGGUAGUCCUAGCCCUAAACGAUGGGUACUGGGUUGC